GGGCCCGUGGCAUAGCCUGGAGAGACUGUAUAAAUCUCGGGUUAUUAUUGCACCGCUCUGAUAAGGCGGGAAGCGGGUGUUCAAUCGGCUACGGAUUUCCCGUGUCGGGACAAAUCACCCCGGGCCCACCA
rnacentral:tRNA from 1 species